rnacentral:rRNA from 1 species
UACGUAGGGCGCAAGCGUUGUCCGGAAUUAUUGGGCGUAAAGAGCUCGUAGGCGGCUUGUCGCGUCGGCUGUGAAAACCCGGGGCUCAACCCCGGGCCUGCAGCCGAUACGGGCAGACUAGAGUUCGGCAGGGGAGACUGGAAUUCCUGGUGUAGCGGUGAAAUGCGCAGAUAUCAGGAGGAACACCGGUGGCGAAGGCGGGUCUCUGGGCCGAUACUGACGCUGAGGAGCGAAAGCGUGGGGAGCGAACAGG